GAUGAACGCUGGCGGCGUGCCUAAUACAUGCAAGUCGAGCGAACAGAUGAGGAGCUUGCUCCUCUGACGUUAGCGGCGGACGGGUGAGUAACACGUGGAUAACCUACCUAUAAGACUGGGAUAACUUCGGGAAACCGGAGCUAAUACCGUAUAAUAUAUUGAACCGCAUGGUUCAAUAGUGAAAGACGGUUUUGCUGUCACUUAUAGAUGGAUCCGCGCCGCAUUAGCUAGUUGGUAAGGUAACGGCUUACCAAGGCAACGAUGCGUAGCCGAACUGAGAGGGUGAUCGGCCACACUGGAACUGAGCCACGGUCCAGACUACUACGGGAGGCACCAGUAGGGAAUCUUCCGCAAUGGGCGAAAGCAUGACGGAGCAACGCCGCGUGAGUGAUGAAGGUCUUCGGAUCGUAAAACUCUGUUAUUAGGGAAGAACAAAUGUGUAAGUAACUAUGCACGUCUUGACGGUACCUAAUCAGAAAGCCACGGCUAACUACGUG
rnacentral:rRNA from 1 species